rnacentral:rRNA from 1 species
GUUGUAUGGUUAAGUGACUAAGCGUAUGUGGUGGAUGCCUUGGCAGUUAGAGGCGAUGAAGGACGUGUUAAUCUGCGAAAAGCUGAGUUAAGCCGAUAAAAGGCGUUAUAGGCUCAGAUGUCCGAAUGGGGAAACCCACCCGUCAUCAGGCGGGUAUCGUUAAGUGAAUUCAUAGCUUAACGAGGCGAACCGGGAGAACUGAAACAUCUAAGUACCCCGAGGAAAAGAAAUCAACCGAGAUUUCCUUAGUAGCGGCGAGCGAACGGGAAUUAGCCCUUAAGCGGUUUGUAAGUUAGUGGAAUGAGCUGGAAAGCUCAGCGAUACAGGGUGAUAGCCCCGUACACGAAAAUGAACUUACCGUGAAAUCGAGUAGGUCGGGACACGAGAAAUCUUGACUGAAUAUGGGGGGACCAUCCUCCAAGGCUAAAUACUCCUAACUGACCGAUAGUGAACCAGUACCGUGAGGGAAAGGCGAAAAGAACCCCUGUGAGGGGAGUGAAAUAGAACCUGAAACCGCAUACGUACAAGCAGUGGAAGCCCUUCGGGGUGACUGCGUACCUUUUGUAUAAUGGGUCAGCGACUUAUGUUCUGUAGCUAGGUUAACCGAAUAGGGGAGCCGUAGCGAAAGCGAGUGUUAACUGCGCGUUUAGUUGCAGGGCAUAGACCCGAAACCCGGCGAUCUACCCAUGGGCAGGUUGAAGGUUGAGUAACAUCAACUGGAGGACCGAACACACGUAUGUUGAAAAAUGCGGUGAUGACCUGUGGGUCGGAGUGAAAGGCUAAUCAAGCCGGGAGAUAGCUGGUUCUCCCCGAAAUCUAUUUAGGUAGAGCCUCGGACGAACACCAUUGGGGGUAGAGCACUGUUAAGGCUAGGGGGUCAUCCCGACUUACCAACCCUUUGCAAACUCCGAAUACCAAUGAGUGCUAUCCGGGAGACACACUAUGGGUGCUAACGUCCAUAGUGGAAAGGGAAACAACCCAGACCGCCAGCUAAGGUCCCAAAGUCAUAGUUAAGUGGGAAACGAUGUGGAAAGGCAUAGACAGCUAGGAGGUUGGCUUAGAAGCAGCCACCCUUUAAAGAAAGCGUAAUAGCUCACUAGUCGAGUCGGUCUGCGCGGAAGAUGUAACGGGGCUAAACUAUGCACCGAAGCUGCGGAUUGGAGCAUAUCACUAAAGUUAUUUGAACGACUUCUGUGUUUUCUUCUUUUUGAUAAAUGAAGAGAAAACACUCAAGCGUCCCCAAACAGUCGAUGGGCUGUGCGGAUAGAGAUGAUUUUAGGAUAUGCUCCAGUGGUAGGGGAGCGUUCUGUAAGCCGUUGAAGGUGAACUGAGAAGUUUGCUGGAGGUAUCAGAAGUGCGAAUGCUGACAUGAGUAACGAUAAUGGGGGUGAAAAACCCCCACGCCGAAAGACCAAGGUUUCCUGUCCCAUGUUAAUCAGGGCAGGGUAAGUCGGCCCCUAAGGCGAGGCGGAAACGCGUAGUCGAUGGGAAACAGAUUAAUAUUUCUGUACUUCUUAUAAUUGCGAAGGAGGGACGGAGCAGGCUAGGCAAGCAUGGCGUUGGUUGUCCAUGUGAAAGUAUGUAGGCUGAAGAAUUAGGUAAAUCCGGUUCUUCUUAAGGCUGAGAUACGAGACGAGGCUCUACGGAGCUGAAGUUGUUGAUGCCCUACUUCCAGGAAAAGCUUCUAAGCAUCAGAUUAUAAGGAACCGUACCCCAAACCGACACAGGUGGUUAGGUAGAGAAUACUAAGGCGCUUGAGAGAACUCGGGUGAAGGAACUAGGCAAAAUAGUACCGUAACUUCGGGAGAAGGUACGCCGGCUAGGGUGAUGAGACUUGCUCUCUAAGCCUCGGUCGGUCGAAGUAACCAGGUGGCUGGAACUGUUUAUUAAAAACACAGCACUGUGCAAAAUCGAAAGAUGACGUAUACGGUGUGACGCCUGCCCGGUGCCGGAAGGUUAAUUGAUUGGGUUAGCGUAAGCGAAGCUCAUGAUCGAAGCCCCGGUAAACGGCGGCCGUAACUAUAACGGUCCUAAGGUAGCGAAAUUCCUUGUCGGGUAAGUUCCGACCUGCACGAAUGGCGUAAUCAUGGCCACACUGUCUCCACCCGAGACUCAGUGAAAUUGAAUUUGCGGUUAAGAUGCCGUAUACCCGCGGCUAGACGGAAAGACCCCGUGAACCUUUACUAUAGCUUGACAGUGAACAUUGCUCCUACAUGUGUAGGAUAGGUGGGAGGCUUUGAAACUUUGUCGCCAGAUAGAGUGGAGCCAAUCUUGAAAUACCACCCUUGUAUGCGUGAUGUUCUAACCUGGGGCCCUAAUCGGGCUUGGGGACACUGUCUGGUGGGUAGUUUGACUGGGGCGGUCUCCUCCCAAAGCGUAACGGAGGAGCACGAAGGUUGGCUAAGUAUGGUCGGACAUCAUACGGUUAGUGCAAUGGCAUAAGCCAGCUUAACUGCGAGACAGACACGUCGAGCAGGUACGAAAGUAGGUCAUAGUGAUCCGGUGGUUCUGUAUGGAAGGGCCAUCGCUCAACGGAUAAAAGGUACUCCGGGGAUAACAGGCUGAUACCGCCCAAGAGUUCAUAUCGACGGCGGUGUUUGGCACCUCGAUGUCGGCUCAUCACAUCCUGGGGCUGAAGUCGGUCCCAAGGGUAUGGCUGUUCGCCAUUUAAAGUGGUACGCGAGCUGGGUUUAGAACGUCGUGAGACAGUUCGGUCCCUAUCUGCCGUGGGCGUUUGAGAAUUGAAGAGGGCUGCUCCUAGUACGAGAGGACCGGAGUGGACGAACCUCUGGUGUUCCGGUUGUCACGCCAGUGGCAUUGCCGGGUAGCUAUGUUCGGAACUGAUAACCGCUGAAAGCAUCUAAGCGGGAAGCAGGCUUUGAGAUGAGUUCUCACUGGAGCUUUAAGCUCCCUAAAGGGUCGUUGGAGACUACAACGUUGAUAGGUCAGGUGUGUAAGUGCUGCGAGGCAUUGAGCUAACUGAUACUAAUUGCCCGUGAGGCUUAACCAUACAACACCAAAG